AAUAUUGGACAAUGGGCGAAAGCCUGAUCCAGCCAUGCCGCGUGUGUGAAGAAGGUCUNCGGAUUNUNAAGUACUUUAAGUUGGGNGGAAGGGGUUGAAGCUAAUACCUUCAAUCUUUGACGUUACCAACAGAAUAAGCACUGGCUAACUCUGUACCAUCAGCCGCGGUAAUACAGAGGGUCCAAGCGUUAAUCGGAAUUACUGGGCGUAAAGGGCGCGGAGGUGGUUCAGUAAGAUGGAAGUGAAAUCCCCGGGCUUAACCUGGGAACUGCUUUUAUAACUGCUGAGCUAGAGUACGGUAGAGGGUAGUGGAAUUUCCUGUGUAGCGGUGAAAUGCGUAGAUAUAGGAAGGAACACCAGUGGCGAAGGCGACUACCUGGACUGAUACUGACACUGAGGUGCGAAAGCGUGGGGAGCAAACAGG
rnacentral:rRNA from 1 species